rnacentral:lncRNA from 1 species
AGGGACUGAACCUUUGUCCUCGCGGAUACUUGUCAGGUUUGUUACCACUGAGCCACAAUGGAAACUCCACUUUUGUUUUUUUCUGCUUCCCUUCCUUCCUCGUUUUUUCGUUCUCUUUCUUUCUCUCUCUCUGCCUCCCUCCCUCCUUCUUUCCUUCCUUCCUUCUUUUCUUUCCCUUUCAUUCUCUCUUUCUCUCCCUCCCUCCCUUUUUCCUCCCUUUCUUUCUCGUUCCCUCUCUCUUUCUUUUUCUCUUUCUCUCCCUCCCUCCUUCCUUCCUCUCUUUCUCUCGUUUCCUCUUUCUUUCUCUUUUUUUUGUCACAGCAUGCAGCAGCUUAAUGUGAGAUCUCUGUUCCCAGACCAAGGAUUGAACCUGUGCCACAGCAGAGAAAGUGCCAAGUCCUAACCACUAUAUCAUCAGGAAACUCCCUAUAUACUGUUUUCUAAAAUGAGGUUUGUUGGUAUAAUUGGUCAAUUUUUCAUUUCUUUAAUGUAUUAAAAAUCACUGUUUUUCUCAUCUUACUUAUUGUACUAAUAAUUAUAGCUUCCAAUUAUAUCACUCUUUAAAUAUUUAACAGCAAAUAUCAUUAAGAAUUUUUCACUCAUAUCAUUUUCCAAUUAAAAUUUUUGUUGUUUUUGUUGGUACCCCUUAGAAUAAAUACAUAGAAGGAACCUAUCUAAAUAUUUUCUCAAAGACCUUAUAUUUAGUUAUCUUUCAUUUUAGAAUCAUGGUUCAAACAAAUGUUCUUAUCAGAAAUCUAGAUUAUUUUCUAUGCUAUUUAUAAUAAUAUGCCUCUCUGGUCUUUAAGCAAAGCUGCUUUGAAUCUUAUGCAUUCUUUUUUAUUAUGGCCUUUCUUAGAAAUUGUAGUAGUAUUUUUUUCUCUGAAAUUUUUCUAGUUUCAACAAUAUUUUUUCUUAAACUGUUCUAUAGCAUUCUAUUCUAAAUCUUAUUAUUUAAAAUAUUUGAUGGCCUUGUUGAACAAAAUUUAACGUUUUAUUGGUAAUAACAUAGUCAUACGUACAUGGCUGAUUUUUUGACUCCUUAGCUUUUUUUUUUUUUUUUUUUUUUUUGUCUUUUUGUAUUUUCUAGGAGGUUCCCAGGCUAGGGGUCUCUUUGGAGCCAUAGUUGCUGGCCUACGCCAGAGCCAUAGCAACUCAGGAUCCAAGCCACAUCUGCAACCUACACCACAGCUCAUGGCAAUGCCAGAUCCUGAACCCACUGAGAGGCCAGAGAUUGAACUCUCAAUCUCAUGGUUCCCAGUUGGAUUCGUUAACCACUGAGCCACGACGGGAACUCCCUUGACUCCUUAGCUUUAUAUUAAUAAUUCCCACUAUCAUUAUUAUCUGUUUGCUGCUGCUUUUGGACUCAGAGAGUUUCUGAUAAGGAUUGCAUGUUAAAUUAUUAAAUGUCAUUAAGCCUCUGUAUAAAAGGACUGAUCUUUUGGUGUUUGGAGACUUGAAAAAAAUAGUUAUGUCUAUUCUAUUUUAUAUUUUAUUACUCAAUGAAUUUAUUACAUUUAUACUUGUACAAUGAUACAGCAUUUCUAUCCCAACCCACCAGCAUCCCCCUACCCGCAACCGCUCUCCUUUGGAAACCAUAAGUUUUUCAAAGUCUGUGAGUUAGUAUCUGUUCUGUAAAGAAGUUCUUUGUGUCCUUUUUUCACAUUCCACAUGUCAGUGAAAGCAUUUGAUGUUGGUGUCUGACUGUCUGACUGACUUCACUUAGCAUGAUAAUUUCUAGGUCCAUCCAUGUUGCUAAAAAUGCUGGUAAUUCGUUCAUUUUAAUGGCUGAGUAAUAUUCCAUUUCGUAUAUGUACCACAUCUUAUUGAUCUGCUCCUCUGUCAAUGGACAUUUAGCUUGUUUCCGUGUCUUGGCUAUUGUAUAUAGUGCUGCAGUGAACAUUGAAGUACAUGUGCCUUUUCUCUCCACACCUUCUUCAGCACUUAUUGUUUGUAGACUUUUUGAUGAUGGCCAUUCUGGCUGGUGUAAGGUGGUACCCCUUAGUGGUUUUGAUGUGCAUUUCUCUCAUAAUGAGUGAUGUUGAACAUCUUUUCAUGUGUUUUUUGGCCAUCUGUAUUCUUCUUUGGAGAAUUGUCUGUUUAGAUCUUCUGCCCAUUCUUUGAUGGGGUUAUUUUUUGAUAUUGAGGUGUUUAUAAAUUUUGGAGAUGAAUCCCUCAUCAGUUGAUUCAUUUGCAAAGAUUUUUCUCCCAUUCUGUGGGUUGUCUUUUUGUUUUGUUUAGGGUUUCCUUUGCUGUGCAGAAACUUUUAAGUUUAAUUAGAUCCCUUUUUUUUAAUUUUUGUUUUUAUUGUCAUUCCUCUAAGAGGUGGGUCUGAGAAGAUGUUGUUGUGGUUUAGGUUGGCGAGUGUUUGGCCUAUGUUUUCCUCUAAGAGUUUUAUAGUAUCUGGUCUUAUAUCUAGGUCUUUAAUCCAUUUGGAAUUUAUUUUUGUGUAUGGUGUUAGGAAGUGUUCUAUAUCAUUCUUUUCCAUGUGACUGUCCAGUUUUCCCAGCACCAUUUAUUGAACAGGCUGUCUUUUCUACAUUGUAUAUUCUUGUCUCCUUUGUCAUAGAUUAGUUGGCUGUAGGUGCGUGGGUUUAAUUCUGGGCUUGCUGUCCUGUUCUACUGAUCUGUAUUUCUGUCUUUGCACCAGUACCAUAUGGUUUUGAUGACUGUUGCUUUGUAGUAUAGUCUCAUGUCAGGGAGCCUGAUUCCUCCAGCUCCAUUUUUCUUUUUCAGGAUGUCUGUGGCUAUUCUGGGUCUUUUGCACUUCCAAACAAACUUUGAAAUAUUUUGUUCGAGUUCUUUGAAAAAUGUCCUCGGUGCCUUGGUAGGGAUUGCAUUGAAUCUGUAGAUUGCCUUGGGUAGUAGAGUCAUUUUGAUAAUAUGGACUCUUCCAAUCCAAGAGCAUGGUAUGUCUUUCCAUCUAUUUGUGUCAUCUUUGAUUUCUUUCAUCAGUGUCUUCUAGUUUUCAGAGUACAGGUCUUUUGUCUCUUUAGGUAGGUUUACUCCUAGGUAUUUUAUUCUUUUGGAUGUGAUGGUAAAUGGGAUUGCUUCCUUAAUUUCUCUUUCUGCUCUUUCAUUGUUAGUGUAUAGAAAUGCUGCUGAUUUUGUGUAUUAAUUUUGUAUCCUGCGACUUUGCCAAAUUCAUGGAUGAGCUCUAACAGUUUUCUGGUAGAGUGUUUAGGAUUCUCUAGAUAGAGUAUCAUGUCGUCUGCAAAUAGUAUAGUUCUACUUCUUCCUUUCCAGUUUGGAUUCCUUUUAUUUCUUUUUCUUCUCUGAUUGCAGUGGCAGGGACUUCCAAAACCAUGUUGAAGGGUAGUGGCGAGACAUCCUUGUCUUAUUCCUGAUCUCAGCAAGAAUUCUUUCAGCUUUUCACCAUUGAGAAUGAUGUUAGCUGUGGGUUUGUCAUAUAUGGCUUUUAUUAUGUUGAGGUAGGUUCCCUCUAUGCCCACUUUCUGAAGGGUUUUUAUCAGAAACGGGUGUUGGACUUUGUCAAAGGCUUUUUCUGCGUUUAUUGAGAGGAUCGUAUGUUUUUUAUUCUUCAGUGUGUUAAUGUGGUGUACCACACUGAUUGAUUUGUGGAUAUUGAAGAGCCCUUGCAUCCCUGGGAUAAAUCCCACUUGAUCAUGAUGUACAAUCCUUUUAAUGUUUUGUUGGAUGUGAUUUGUUAGUAUUUUGUUUAGGAUUUUUGCAUCGCUGUUCAUCAGUGAAAUUGGCCUAUAGCUUUCUUUUUUUGUGGUAUCUUUGUCUGGUUUUGGUAUCAGGGUGAUGGUGGCCUCAUAGAAUGAGUUUGGGACUGUCUCUUCCUCUGUAAUUUUUUGGAAUAGUUUCAGAAGGAUAGGUUUUAGCUCUUCCGUAAAUGUUUGGUAGAAUUUGCCUGUGAAGCCAUCUCGUCUUAGACUUUUGUUUGUUGGAAUUUUUUUAAUCCCAGUUUCAAUUUCAGUACUUGUGAUUGCUCUAUUCUUUUCUAUUUCAUCCUGGUUUAGUCUUAAAAGAUUGUACUUUUCUAAGAAUUUGUCCAUUUCUUCUGGGUUUUCUGUUUUAUUGGUGUAUAGUUGAAUGCAAUAGUCUCUUAGGAUCCUUUGUAUUUCUGUGAUUUCCGUUGUUACUUCUCCUUUUUCAUUUCUAAUUUUAUUGGUUUGAGUCUUCUCUCUUUUUCUUGAUAAAUCUGCCUAAGUGUUAUCAAUUUUGUUGAUCUUUUCAAAGAACCAGAUUUUCGUUUCAUUGAUCUUUUCUGUGGUUCUCUUUGUUUCUAUUUCAUUGAUUUCUGCUCUGAUCUUUAUGAUUUCUUUUCUUCUACUAACUUUAGGUCUUGUCUGGUCUGUCUGAUUUCUUUAGCUGUAAAGUCAGGUUGUUUAUUUGAGCUUUUUCUUAUUUCCUGAAGUAGGCUUGUGUUGCUAUGAACUUUUAGAGGGCAUUUGCUGCAUCCCAUAGGUUUUGGAAUGUCGUAUCUUUGUUGUCAUUUGCUUCUAGGUAUUUUUUAAUUCCCUCUUUGAUCUCUUCAGUGAUCCAUUGGUUGUUUAGUAGCAUGUUGUUUAGUCUCCACAUGUUUGUGUUUUUUGCAGAUUUUUUCUUGUAGUUGAUUUCCAGUUGUAUAGCAUUGUGGCUGGAGAAGAUGCCUGAUAGGAUUUCAAUUUUCUUAAAGUUACCAAGGCUUGUGUUGUAGCGCAGGAUGUGAUCAAUUUUAGAGAGUGUUCCAUGUGCACUUGAGAAGAAUGCGUAUUCUGUUGCUUUUGGAUGGAUUGUCCUAUUUAUUUAGUCCAUCUGGUUUAAUGCUUCAUUCAGGCCUGUGUUUCCUUAUUGAUUUUCUAUCUGGAUGAUCUGUCCGUUGCUGUAAGUGGAGUGUUAGAGUCCCCCACUAUUAUUGUGGUAUUGUUGAUUUGUCCUUUUAAGGUUGUUAGCAGUUGCUUUAUAUAUUGUGGUGAUCCUAUGUUAUGUAUGUAUAUUUAAAAUUGUUAUAUCUUCUUCAUGGAUUGAUCCUUUGAUCUUUAUAUAGUGACCGUUCUUGUCUCUUAAAACGUUCUUCAAUUUAAGUUCUGUUUUGUCUGAUACGAGUUUUGCUAUUCCAGCUUUCUUUUGAUCCCCGUUUGCAUGGAAUAUUUUCUUCCAUCUUCUCAUUUUCAAUUUGUAUGUGUCCCUAGAAGUAAAGUGGGCCUCUUGAAGACAGCAUAUAUAUGUAUCUUGUUUUUGUAUCCAUUCAGCCAUUUUAUGUCUUUUGGUUGGGGUGUUUAGUCCAUUAAUAGUUAAAGUAAUUAUUGAUAUAAUAAUUAUUAUUGCCAUUUUAUUAAUUGUUUUUGUUGCUUUUUUUUCCUUUCGUUCUUCUGUUAUUCUCUCUUCUUGUGUUUUUUUGUUUGUUUGUUUCUUUGUUUGUUUGUUUUUGUCUUUUUGCCAUUUCU